rfam:Branchiostoma floridae genomic scaffold BRAFLscaffold_150, whole genome shotgun sequence.
AUCUGUGUGUGUGUGGAUAGUGUUCAGCACCAUAAAUGUUUACCUGUGUGUGGAUAGUGUUCAGCACCAGGGGCAGGCAUGCUUCCCU